rnacentral:rRNA from 1 species
GACGAACGCUGGCGGCGUGCGUAAUACAUGCAAGUCGAGCGAGCUCGCCUAGAUGAAUUUGGUGCUUGCACCAGAUGAAACUAGAUACAAGCGAGCGGCGGACGGGUGAGUAACACGUGGGUAACCUGCCCAAGAGACUGGGAUAACACCUGGAAACAGAUGCUAAUACCGGAUAACAACACUAGACGCAUGUCUAGAGUUUAAAAGAUGGUUCUGCUAUCACUCUUGGAUGGACCUGCGGUGCAUUAGCUAGUUGGUAAGGUAACGGCUUACCAAGGCAAUGAUGCAUAGCCGAGUUGAGAGACUGAUCGGCCACAUUGGGACUGAGACACGGCCCAAACUCCUACGGGAGGCAGCAGUAGGGAAUCUUCCACAAUGGACGCAAGUCUGAUGGAGCAACGCCGCGUGAGUGAAGAAGGGUUUCGGCUCGUAAAGCUCUGUUGGUAGUGAAGAAAGAUAGAGGUAGUAACUGGCCUUUAUUUGACGGUAAUUACUUAGAAAGUCACGGCUAACUACGUGCCAGCAGCCGCGGUAAUACGUAGGUGGCAAGCGUUGUCCGGAUUUAUUGGGCGUAAAGCGAGUGCAGGCGGUUCAAUAAGUCUGAUGUGAAAGCCUUCGGCUCAACCGGAGAAUUGCAUCAGAAACUGUUGAACUUGAGUGCAGAAGAGGAGAGUGGAACUCCAUGUGUAGCGGUGGAAUGCGUAGAUAUAUGGAAGAACACCAGUGGCGAAGGCGGCUCUCUGGUCUGCAACUGACGCUGAGGCUCGAAAGCAUGGGUAGCGAACAGG